GGGAAGAAGUUCCUGUGGUUAAUUUUGCCCCAACUGGUAUCAUCCGCUGUAGAAGGUGUCGCACUUAUGUAAAUCCUUAUGUGACAUUCACCGACAGUGGAAGAAAGUGGAGAUGUAAUAUAUGUGCAUUGCUUAAUGAAGUUCCUGGUGAAUAUUUCGCACAUUUGGAUGCCAGUGGCAGAAGAGUUGACUUGGAUCAAAGGCCUGAACUUACCAAAGGUAGCGUGGAGUUUAUUGCUCCAGCUGAGUACAUGGUCCGGCCUCCGAUGCCUCCCCUGUACUUUUUUCUCAUUGAUGUAUCUUUGACUGCUGUGAGAAGUGGAAUGCUUGAGGUUUUAGCACAAACCAUCAAGAACAGUUUGGACAGCUUGCCUGGAUUUCCAAGAACACAGAUCGGGUUUAUAACAUAUGACAGUACAGUACACUUUUAUAACAUGAAGUCAUCCUUGACUCAACCUCAAAUGAUGGUCAUGUCAGAUCUUGAAGAUGUAUUUGUGCCAUUGCCAGAUGAUCUUCUUGUCAACUUGUCAGAAUCAAGAACUGUGGUAGAUGCAUUUCUAGACAGCCUUCCUUCAAUGUUUCAGGAUAAUGCGAAUGUGGAAUCAGCUUUUGGUCCAGCUCUUAAAACAGCCUUCAUGGUUAUGAACCAACUUGGCGGUAAAUUGCUGAUCUUUCAAAGCAGUCUUCCAUCACUUGGUGUUGGUCGCUUAAAAUUACGAGGAGAUGAUGUUCGUGUAUAUGGAACUGAUAAAGAGCAUACAAUAAGAGUACCUGAAGAUCCUUUUUAUAAACAAAUGGCUGCUGAUUUCACCAAGUAUCAGAUAGCAGUCAAUGUAUAUGCUUUCAGUGACAAAUAUACUGACAUAGCUACUAUAGGUACGCUGGCAAAGUACACAGGUGGUCAGGUGUACUACUAUCCAAGUUUUCAAGCGUCCGUUCACAAAGAUAGAUUGCGUCACGAGUUAACCCGAGAUCUUACAAGGGAGACUGCUUGGGAGUCUGUCAUGCGCAUAAGAUGUGGAAAAGGUGUUCGUUUUACAACAUAUCAUGGGAACUUCAUGCUGAGAUCCACUGAUCUGAUAGCACUUCCUGCUGUUGACUGUGAUAAAGCAUAUGCAAUGCAG
rnacentral:misc_RNA from 1 species